CGCUUCUGCUUCACUGAUUGACCAGAUUCUCUGAAUGUCAGCUGAUGCCUAUAAGGACUAUAAAUCUCCAUUCUUCUUCAGUCUAUGCAACUUGCCUCAUUGUGAGAAGACCCAGGUGAAGCUCCUGCUGCCUUUCCCCAUACGUCCUUUGGAACUCUGUCUCCCACCCACUCCAGAUGUACUGUCUUACCAGCCUUGUGAUUUAGGAUUGCAGUUUUCAGAACUUGAUGCUUGCCUGCUCUGAACUGUGUCACUUGUCUCUGGCCCUGAUUAACGAUGAGCUCCCUCAGGAUCCUGAACCCUUACCAGUUGUGGCCUGAACCACUGGAUAUUUAGCACCGGGGACAGCUCCAAAGUACCCAAUGCUUUGCCUUGCCAGGAUAACGGAGACCUUAUUUCCUAUUGCCAGCCAGAUUUAUUUAAUUUA